AUACGGAGGAUCCGAGCGUUAUCCGGAUUUAUUGGGUUUAAAGGGUGCGCAGGCGGCCAUUUAAGUCAGCGGUUAAAUCGUGGGGCUCAACCCCAUUCUGCCGUUGAUACUGGGUGGCUUGAUUGCGGUCGAGGUUGGCGGAAUUCGUUGUGUAGCGGUGAAAUGCAUAGAUAUGACGAAGAACACCGAUUGCGUAGGCAGCUGACCGAACCGCAAAUGUCGAUCAUGCGCGAAAGUGCGGGGAUCGAACAGGAUUAGAUACCCUGGUAGUCCGCACAGUAAACGAUGAAUACUUGUUUUCGGCGAUAUAAUGUCGGAGGCAAAGCGAAAGCGAUUAGUAUCCCACCUGGGGAGUACGCCGGCAACGGGGAAACUCAAAGGAAUUGACGGGG
rnacentral:rRNA from 1 species